AGGAAAGCAGGGGAUCGCAAGACCUUGCGCUCUUGGAGCGGCCGAUGUCUGAUUAGCUAGUUGGUGAGGUAAAGGCUUACCAAGGCGACGAUCAGUAGCUGGUCUGGGAGGACGACCAGCCACACUGGGACUGAGACACGGCCCAGACUCCUACGGGAGGCAGCAGUGGGGAAUUUUGGACAAUGGGGGAAACCCUGAUCCAGCCAUGCCGCGUGAGUGAAGAAGGCCUUCGGGUUGUAAAGCUCUUUCAGCCGGAACGAAACGGUCACGGCUAAUACCUGUGACUACUGACGGUACCGGAAGAAGAAGCACCGGCUAACUACGUGCCAGCAGCCGCGGUAAUACGUAGGGUGCAAGCGUUAAUCGGAAUUACUGGGCGUAAAGCGUGCGCAGGCGGUUUUGUAAGUCAGAUGUGAAAUCCCCGGGCUUAACCUGGGAACUGCGUUUGAAACUACAAGGCU
rnacentral:rRNA from 1 species